UACGUAGGUGGCGAGCGUUGUCCGGAUUUACUGGGCGUAAAGCGCGCGUAGGCGGCCUAUCAAGUCUGGGGUGAAAUCUCUCGGCCUAACCGGGGAGGGGUCUUCAGAUACUGGUGGGCUUGAGGGCAGCAGAGGUCGGUGGAAUUCCCGGUGGAGUGGUGAAAUGCGUAGAUAUCGGGAGGAACACCAGUGGCGAAGGCGGCCGACUGGGCUGUCCCUGACGCUGAGGUGCGAAAGCUAGGGGAGCGAACAGG
rnacentral:rRNA from 1 species